UACAGAGGUCCCAAGCGUUGUUCGGAAUCACUGGGCGUAAAGGGUGCGUAGGCGGCGCGGAAAGUCAGGGGUGAAAUCCCGGAGCUCAACUCCGGAACUGCCUUUGAUACUCCCGCGCUUGAGAACUGGAGGGAGACCGGAAUUCACGGUGGAGCAGUGAAAUGCGUGGAUAUCGUGAGGAACACUAGUGGCGAAGGCGGGUCUCUGGACAGUAUCUGACGCUGAGGCACGAAGGCCAGGGGAGCGAACCGG
rnacentral:rRNA from 1 species